CAUUAGGUGACUGAAAGCAAGUAAUGGUCUCUUAAACCACUCUAUGGUAAAUUGGCAACUACCCCUAAUGA
rnacentral:tRNA from 1 species